CCCAAAUCUUCAUCAUGUUGGAUUAGACCUUGACUUCCUUAACAAGACUCCUAAAGUGCAAGAAAUAAAAUCAAGAAUCAAUAAAUGGGAUGGUUUCAAACUGAAAAGCUUCUUCUCAGCAAGAGAAAUAAUCAGUGAGGUGAAGAGAGAGCCUACAGAAAGGGAGCAAAUUUUUACCAUAUGCACAUCAGGAUAAUCUCCAGGAUAUAUAAAGAACUCAAAAAAUGUAACACACACAAACACACACACACACACACACGGCAAGUCCAUAUUUCUCAUCAUGGCUCUUUCUCAUGUCUCCAGCUUCUCUGUUACUCCUCCCAGCCCCGCAGAGGUUCUGCUGAACUGCUCUCAACAUCCACAGACCUAGGCUCCCUUUCUUCACACAUUUUUCUUCCUCUGCCUGAAACUUACUUACUCUAGCUUCUUUCAAAGGGGUGAACUGCUGCUCAUCCCCCAUGCUUAACUGAACAUCUCCUGGGUGGUUUUCCUGUUCUUGGAUGGAGAUGGGGACUCUUGUAUUUCCUCUGGAGCAGUGAUCACCAGAGCUGGAUUAAUGUAGGUCAGCCACCUGGAGUACUAAUCCACAGGCAUGUAAAAACAUCACUGCAAUAAAUAAACGAAGUAUGCUAGGAGGUGGCUGCAUCCACCCAUGUGCCUUUAUGUAACUGCUGAAAAAUACAGGGGUGCUUCAGAGAUUUGG
rnacentral:lncRNA from 1 species